AAAAAAUGCUUCUUUAUUUUAAUUUACUAUCAUAUUCUAGAGCACGUGUCUAUCAAAACUUUUAAAUGGCACACGUGCUACUAUAAACUGAUGCUUCUUUUAUUGCGUAACUUUUAUUAAAAUAAAAUUCCUCACACACGACAAGAAGUCAUCGUCAGCUUCCAAAGCGAAAGGUUGCAGAAUUGCAACAUGUAUUCUGUCAAGGUCAAGGGCAUCAAGUUGCCAGUUUAUAAAGCCAGUCCCUUGGGCAGGUUGACCUGUGCCCCUGUUGGAUUCAAAGCUCCAUUUAAACUUUAAAACCAUUUCCAAACGUUUCACGACAAAAGUAUAUAGUACUUUAAAGAUAUUUUUAUUUCCUCCCUUUUUUUUUUCUUCUCGAGAAUAAAUAACACCUUCCGAAAAAUAUUGUUAGUUAUAUUUUACCAACUUGUGAAACUGACACUGAUGAUGAUUAUUCCCGUUAGAGAUAUUAUUUUCUCAAGGACUUUUGAAUAUAUUAUAUAUACUAAAAAAUAUUAGAAUAUUCAAUUGGAAGGUUGGUUUCAUAUUGCCUUGAAAUCUAGAUCAGUUUCUAAAGUGAAGAGUAAUUAUUACAAACUUGGCAAUUGAAGGACGUAAACUUUUUUGAAAUUAUAUUUAUUGAAAACAGUUUUUCAUUUCAAAAUUGUUUUAUAAAAAAAUAAUUUAUUUAUUAUUGAAAAAUGUCUCUUUGAAUUAGUAAAUAAAAUAUUCUUUUUUUUUCAUAUAGCUUGAAGAUGAAAAAAAAAAAGAGGAAAAUAUUUUCCAGUGAAAGGUUGACGAACCAACAUGAUUCGUGGGUAGACUUCAAUAAUGAGACGAAAUAAUAGAGAACACCAGGGACAUUGAAGAACAGUCGCCUACAAUUUGUGAUUUAACAGACAGGAAGUAUAAUUCGUAAGGGUUUAUUUAGAAAUUGUCUUGGUUGCGUACAGAAAAGUUCAAAGCACCGAAUGUCUAUUAUUUAUAUUUCUCAAGUAUACCCAAAGAUUCAUGUGGAUGAAUUGUGAGCUGUAUAAAAAGUGAUGACAAAUAAAUCGCGAAGGUAUUUAAUUUUUGUUGGCUACUGGAAGUGACACCCACCUAUCAGAAGUCCCAGGAGAUUCCUCGACGAGAUAAACAUCGGCAUGUGUGAUAAACGUUGUAUCCUUCAUUUUUCGGAGGCAAUUUCAAAGAGAAAAAAAAAAAAAAAAAGA